rnacentral:tRNA from 1 species
GUUUUUAUAGUUUAAAUUUAAAACAUUGGUCUUGUAAAUCAAAAAUAAGAUUUUUCUUUAUUAACU